CCUUUCGUCCCCGGCGUCCGGGCGCCCUGCAUGGAUCCCCCACCCCAGCUCCUGCUCCCCGGCGGCGGCCGACUUCCUAGCAUGGGCUGUUGUGCUGGAGAGAACGAGAGCUACGAAGAGACUACAGUGCCUCUGACUUUUUCAUAGGACAGUUGGCCGAGGAAGACAAACAUAAAGAUGAAGUGCUUAAUUCAAGGUCACACAAUGUCGGGGAUGGACCUCCAGAUUUCCUUACUGACCUGCAUUAUCUUGUGGAUACCUGAGUGAAUUCCACACCACCCAUUUUAUAGAUGAAACCACUGAGACAUGGAGCAAUUGACUGAGUAGUCACUGCCCCACCCCUGCCUGGAGCCUCACACAUGACUCGCCUCCUCUCAGUGACCACAGGUUGGUUGAGGGGUUUAACAAGGCUAAGAAGGUGAGACGUGGUCUUGUAACACAGUGGUUAAGAAUGUGACUUUGGAGCCAGCCUGCUAGGGGCUGAAUUCUGACUCAGCCAUUUACUAACUGUGUGACCUUAGGGAGGAGGACCUGGUUGAUAGAAGAAUUUAUCUCGUAGUCUUAACAUCCACUGUAAUUCCAAACUUUGAGGACGAUAGAGAUCAGUGGGCUUUGACUGCCCAGCAUGCAGUCUCCAUUCUUAGGUCACAGAAUUUUCCACACUCCUUGACAGAGGUGCUUAACCCUUAUCCAUCAGCAUUCUCAGACAGCACCUCCGGUUAGGGACAGUAUCUGACCGUCCGACAUCCCUGCAGCCCCCAUGUGUCACACAGACUCAGCCUCAGGUAGAUGGUUUCCGUAGAUGGUGGCUUUCUUUGGACCCUUGACAUCAACCAGUUACUAUUUGGUCUAGGGGUCUCACCAACGCUGCUCAUCUAGCAGGGCCACACAUAACAAAUAGAAGCAGAGCAAGCCCUGGAACUCCUGCCUGACAGUGACACGACGACAGAAACAUCUUACCAGUCAGAGGACCAUGAGAAAUAGAUUCAAGGAGCAUUCCACGUGCAAGUGAGUCUUGGCCCCAUCUGCCUUUGGAUUUUAGCCGUGAACUGGAAGGUAUUGGAAAGAAGACCCUCAGAAAUAGCUUAAUCAAAAUCCCUGCGUCUGAACCAAGUGCCUUAUUUCUCUGUGGGCCUCAAGCUUCGCUGACAUCUGUGGAGCACACUGUCCUAACAGGAGUGCUGUCUGAUUUCCCAACGCUCUGCAAAACAAACAGCCUGGAAGGGUGGCUGGUGGAAGGUGGUUUUUAGAGAGAGACUUGUAGAUAACAGGAAAGUGAAGGCUGUAAGGAAGGUUGUAAUUAAACAGCACAUGGAAACACAAUCACAUUAUUGUCCCAUUCCAUAGGGAUAAUGAUGACCACUUCAGUGGGAAAAGGAGAGGUUUUAAGUCAUUAGGGACUAUGGGCCACCUUUUAGGAAGAUUUAUUUUCAAAGGUUAAAAUAGUGUUUUGGCAAUUCAAGUUUCAUUUUCAGAAAAUGUAAUUGAUGGGAACCUCAGUGACUCUGGAUGAAUAAGAUGCUGUUGAGUGGCUCUGACUUGGGCCAGCCGUGCUUCUCACAGGACCUUGGAGACCAAGGUCACUGUGAUCUCAGGUUCAGGGGGCAAGUCCUCUCCACACAGCCCUAGUUGGCCUCACAGCUGAAAAUGUCUCCCUUACUGUUGGACUCCUUUGUUCACCCACAUGAGUUUGUGAAUAAAUCCUUUCCAGUCUGAAA
ensembl:lncRNA PCBP1-AS1 PCBP1 antisense RNA 1